rnacentral:rRNA from 1 species
CCCUUAGAUGUUCUGGGCAGCACGCGCGCUACAAUGGUCUUCGCAAACGGAUGCAUUCUCGAAGGAGAAUGCCAAUCUUGGAAUCUAUGCCUUGGUCGGGACAGUUGCUUGCAAUUUUUCGACUCGAACCAGGAAUUCCUUGUAAUCGUGAUUCAUCACAUCACGAUGAAUACGUCCCUGCCCUUUGUACACACCGCCCGUCGCUCCUACCGAUCGAAGAGUUAGGUGAAUUGUUUUGAUCGAUAAGAUUUGACUAUGGUCAACUCUCGUUGUGAAAUUCUGUGAAUCUGACUGUUUAGAGGAAGGAAAAGUCGUAACC